UACGUAGGGGCUAGCGUUAUCCGGAUUUACUGGGCGUAAAGGGUGCGUAGGCGGUCUUUCAAGUCAGGAGUGAAAGGCUACGGCUCAACCGUAGUAAGCUCUUGAAACUGUAAGACUUGAGUGCAGGAGAGGAGAGUGGAAUUCCUAGUGUAGCGGUGAAAUGCGUAGAGAUUAGGAAGAACACCAGUGGCGAAGGCGAUUCUCUGGACUGUAACUGACGCUGAGGCUCGAAAGCGUGGGGAUCAAACAGGAUUAGAUACCCUGGUAGUCCCU
rnacentral:rRNA from 1 species